UACGUAGGGUGCAAGCGUUAAUCGGAAUUACUGGGCGUAAAGCGUGCGCAGGCGGUUUUGUAAGUCAGAUGUGAAAAUCCCCGGGCUUAACCUAGGGAACUGCGUUUGAAACUACAAGGCUAGAGUGUGGCAGAGGGGGUGGAAUUCCACGUGUAGCAGUGAAAUGCGUAGAGAUGUGGAGGAACACCGAUGGCGAAGGCAGCCCCUGGGUUAACACUGGACGCUCAGGCACGAAGCGUGGGGAGCAAAGCAGG
rnacentral:rRNA from 1 species